GCCUGCCAGUGACAAAUGUUCAACGGCCGCGGUAUCCUAACCGUGCGAAGGUAGCGUAAUCACUUGUUCUUUAAAUGUGGACUAGUAUGAACGGCACCACGAGGGUUAUACUGUCUCCUUUCUCCAAUCAGUGAAACUAAUCUCCCCGUGAAGAAGCGGGGAUAAAAAUAUAAGACGAGAAGACCCUAUGGAGCUUAAAAGUUUACUUCAAACGCUAACCCCUACAAAGUCAUAGACUACCACAAGAAGCCACGCGCCAUGAAAACAACUUUUAGGUUGGGGUGACCAUGGAGCACAAAACAACCUCCACGCUGAACAGGCCUCCAAGCCUCGAGCCAAGGGCCACAACCCGCCGCACUAAAAAAUUAACAUCCAUUGAUCCAAUGAAUUUUGAUCAACGAACCAAGUUACCCUAGGGAUAACAGCGCAAUCUACUUCAAGAGUUCCUAUCGACAAGUGGGUUUACGACCUCGAUGUUGGAUCAGGGUGUCCCAGUGGUGCAGCCGCUACUAAUGGUUCGUUUGUUCAACGAUUAAAACCCUACGUGAUCU
rnacentral:rRNA from 1 species